rnacentral:SRP_RNA from 2 species
UCGUGCUAAAGCGGGGAGAUAGCGGUGCCCUGUAACCCUGAACCCGCUAAACAGGGGCUGACAAUCUGCAGGAAGGCAUUUUGUUGUAAGCCAAGGCUGAUUGAAAGGGCGAUGAAAGCAGGACCUCAAGCAACAUUGACUCUUAAACCCCGUGAGUUCCGGAAGGACGCAGCGGUAAGAGAGUUUAAUGUUUGGCUUGAGAAAAUCUUGCUGGAGUCUCGUAAAUCAGUACAGCUUGUAACAAAAUGUCAACCGCAGACGCACGG